rnacentral:piRNA from 1 species
UCCAAGGAGAUGGGGAAGGUCAC